ACGUAGGGUGCGAUCGUUAAUCGGAAUUACUGGGCGUAAAGCGUGCGCAGGCGGUUCGCUAAGACAGGUGUGAAAUCCCCGGGCUUAACCUGGGAAUGGCGCUUGUGACUGGCGGACUGGAGUAUGGCAGAGGGGGGUGGAAUUUCACGUGUAGCGGUGAAAUGCGUAGAGAUGGGGAGGAACACCGAUGGCGAAGGCAGCCCCCUGGGCCGAUACUGACGCUGAGGCACGAAAGCGUGGGGAGCAAACAG
rnacentral:rRNA from 1 species